rnacentral:rRNA from 1 species
GGACUAAACUCUAAACGGCCGCAGAAUUUUAACUGUGCUAAGGUAGCAUAAUCACUUGUCUUUUAAUUGAAGACUGGUAUGAAUGGUUUAACGAAAUUAUACUAUCUUUUUUAUACUAAUUAAAAUUUAAUCUUAAUGUUAAAAAGCAUUAAUUUAAUAAAAAGACAAAAAGACCCUAUAGAGUUUUAUUUUCAACUUUACUUAUAAAGUCAUGAAAAUUUUGUUGGGGCAACUGGAAAAAAAUAAAUUUUUUCUUAAUUAUCAUAAAUAUACCUUAUCAUUUAUUUAAUAAAACAAAAUAAAUUACCUUAGGGAUAACAGCAUAAUUUUCUUUGAGAGCUCAAAUCGAAAAGAAAAAUUAU